rnacentral:lncRNA from 13 species
AUGGUGGAGCUGGCCUCUCUGGAAGGGAACCGAUGGUGUAGGGUGGAGCUGACCUCUCUGGAGGGGACACGAUGGUGCAGGGUGGAGCUGGCCUCUCUGGAUGGGGCCUGGUUGUUUAGGGUCGAGCUGGCCUCUCUGGAUGUAGCCCUGUGGUGUAGGGUGGAGCUGGCCUCUCUGGAUGUGGCCCUGUGGUGUAGGGUGGAGCUGGUCUCUCUGGAUGUGGCCCUGUGGUGUAGGGUGGAGCUGGUCUCUCUGGAUGUGGCUUGCUGGUGUAGGGUGGAGCUGGCCUCUCUGGAUGGGGCCUUGUUGUUUAGGGUGGAGCUGACCUCUCUGGAGGGGACACGAUGGUGCAGGGUGGAGCUGGCCUCUCUGGAUGGGGCCUGGUUGUUUAGGGUGGAGCUGGCCUCUGGAUGUGGCCCUGUGGUGUAGGGUGUAGCUGGCCUCUCUGGCUAGGGGCUGGUGGUCGUGAUCUUGAAAGAUAUAUGGCAGAGUUUCUCUAAUUUUAGUUUUUGCUUUGUCCCAGAGCAGUUUCUUUCAGUUUCCUAGAGAACACCUUGACACCCUGUUUGUUCAAGUGUACUAGCUCAUACAUCAGCUGGGGGUGAAUGUCACGGUGGUUCACUUGGUAAAUAUUGUCCAAAAGAGCACAGUGUGCUUGUGUGUGGGUGUGUGUGUUGGGAAUGGUAAAUGCUACUGUGGCCCCAAGAUGUCUACACUCAAGUGCCAAAUAUCUGCAGGAGAGCAAGCUAUUUUAUCUGUCUAUGUGUCUGAUUUUCCCAACCAAUACUGCUUCACCAGCAACAUGCAGAAUAUUGGACUUGGGAUGGUAAUGACAUUAGAUGAUGCAAGUCUGGGGAUGGAGAGAGGGAGAGCUAGACAGAGGUAAAGGGAGAAGGAGGAAGAGUAAGAGAGGGAAGGAAGGAAGAGAGAUCAUCCUUUAACCUUUCCAAUACUGCUGUUAAAGCAUUUAUACAUUGAAGUACACUUUAGAAAUACUGCAGGAGCAGAUGUUAGAUUCUGUGCUUACCUGAAGUUGAUAUCAUUUUUUCCAUGAUGUGGUUAAAUGAUCACAAUCAGGGUGUGGUGUGUUGGUGGCCUGACCUGUCUGGUGAUUUUCAGAUUGAGAUAAUCCUGUAUUGUGUUCCUGUAACAGAUUCAACUAGUUGAUCCUGUUUCAGUCACACUCAGUAAAUCCCUAGCCCUUGAGUCACUGGCCGCUGGACCACAGUGGAACACCAUCUGUGAAAUGACUUGUAUUCUAGGGCCAUUGGUCCCAGGGAGAUCUGGAAAACCAAGUGAAUGAACUCUAUGACUGAUUGCAAAAAUCCCUGAAGCUGGAUACUCAUAUCUCCCUCACUAGCUUUAAGCACCAGUUGUCAGAGCAGCUCACAGAUCACUGCACCUGUACAUUGCCCAUCUGUAAAUAGCCCAUCCAACUACCUCAUCCCCAUACUGUAUUUAUUUAUCUUGCUCUUUUGCACCCCAGUAUCUCUACUUGCACAUUCAUCUUCUGCACAUCUACCAUUCCAGUGUUUAAUUGCUAUAUUGUAGUUACUUCGCCACCAUGGCCUAUUUAUUGCCUUUUUUAUUGCCUUGUAGCCUGCCUCAUUUGCACAUGCUGUAUAUAGACGUUUUCUACUGUAUUAUUGACUGUAUGUUUGUUUAUUCCAUGUGUAACUCUGUGUUGUUGUAUGUGUCGCACUGCUUUGCUUUAUCUUGGCCAGGUCGCAGUUGCAAAUGAGAACUUGUUCUCAACUGGCCUACCUGGUUAAAUAAAGGUGAAAUAAAAAAUGAAUGAUACUGUAAUAUGGGAUCAAUUAAUCAAUUAUAAUUGGAUCAAUUGCCAAAGGGAAUGCAGAAUCUCUUGAAUUUUAACAAACCAAGCAUUAACACUUCCUACAGUAUCAAUACUUCUGGCUGUUUCUUUAAGACAGUACAAGAGCAGUGAAACACUAAGUCGCCCAGGGGAAUGCAUGAAUUCCUAUAAAAUAACCAGCCAGGUCACACCAGAUAUACACUUCAGUAUCCGAAGUUUGUACAGGUCCCCAGGACGUUGGAAGAUGCCUUCAAUACCGCUAGGGGCAACGUGAGCCCCUAUUACCAUCUCGUAGGCUCGCGCUUGCUAGGGCACGAGCCUACGAGGACUUAAACCACGAGCUACGGCUCUGAGGAUUAUGGGUUCAAUCCCAGUGCUAGGAAGUCUAGUGAUGCGCAGGUUGACUCAUAACCAGCGGGUUGAAUAAAGAGAAACAAUACUUUGACAUUUCCAUAAAAGUAUAAUUCUUCUGAAAUUUACAGUGGGGCAAAAAAGUUUUUAGUCAGCCACCAAUUGUGCAAGUUCUCCCACUUAAAAAGAUGAGAGAGGCCUGUAAUUUUAAUCAUAGGUACACUUAAACUAUGACAGACAAAAUUAGAAAAAAAAAAUCACUGGAUCCUUGCUGUAAACUCUGGACCUUGGCUAACGCCACUGCCACGAAGCUAGCACCAGUUAGCCAUGAAACAGGCGCAUCUCCCGGCUAGAAAACUAAAUUCUACAAUACCUCUUUCGCCAUCUGGCUUGGAUUCUCUGUCGACACUGCGCCACGCCGCACCACCACGACUGGUCUGCCGACGAAUACUCCAUCCGCUGUGCCUUCAACCGGCCUCCGUCGGAGCAGACGCUCCUACUAGCCCCGGGCUACUAACUUUAAACGCCGUGUCGCCUGCGUGCUAGCGUAGUGGAGGCUUCCCUGUUCCAUCUACUGCUGCCCCCUGGACACUAUGAUCACUUGGCUACAUACAGUGCCUUGCGAAAGUAUUCGGCCUCCUUGAACUUUGCAACCUUUUG